UUACUCUUCCAAAACAGCCCCAAUUGCUCUCUCCAACCAGCAACCCAUAUACUCAAAAUCAAAACCUAGCUAACCACUUACACCGUUUCAUUUCUCUUCAGCAUAGAAAUCAAACCAUUUGCAGUGGAUUUCUUGAAACCCUAGAAAUCAUAGUGGGAAUGGGAAGAAUAUUGCUCCGGCGAAGGUGGGUUUUGUUUUGGCUUCGUUUUAGUCAAACCCUAUAUUGGAUUGGUUUGUGAGUACAAUAGAUUGAGGGUCUCUCUUUCCACUUCCCACAUGCCCAAGUGCGAAAUCUGCCAGCUCAACCGGGAUCGAGUUGAUCGAGAACUUCUCUGGGCACCCCAGAGUUCUUUAUUGUUCAUUAAUUGGGAGAUGCUUCAAACAGAUAAGUCUCUCUUAUCCAUUGACUGAAAGCUAUAUACGUGUUAAUGUCUACUUAUGUUAUUUAACCAUGCCUAUAAAUGCACGACAUUCUUGAUCAACCAAGCAAUUAAUGCCCAUAUAUCAAGAGCAUGCCAUUUUUUGCCAUUUCUCUGUACUAGCAUCAUGAUUAGUUUAUUCACAAGUGAGCAUGUGUCAUUGAGAAAAGGUAUCACAACCAUGUAGAUUCCUCUUACGCUAGCUGACUUUUAAUUGAGCUGCAACAUACACAUGAACUCAUUUUGCUGUGUCAUACAUGUAUAACAUCCUCAUCCUUGAUUCAUGCCUUUAUCUCAAAAGACAUUAAUGCGUAAAUAUUAUGCUUGAGUUGCAAUGCUACACAUACAUAAUUCACUUCUUACAGCUCAUCUUAUUUUUGUCUCAAUUAAUUAAAAUGACAUUUGUAUGUUAUGGUGAUUGCUUUGCUGCAAGCAGUGAUUGAGAAAACCAAUCUGAAUCCCAAGGAAGUUGGGGAUAUUGUUCUCAGUACCGUGUUGGCUCCAGGUCUCAAAGAGCUAGCAAAUGCAGGAUAGCUGCUUCUAUAAGAGCUACAUCAGUUAUGACAUUGGUAAAGAUCUUUAAACAAACCCAUAAUUGCCUUCUUCCUAUGGGGGUCACCUCAGAAAAUGUUGCUCAUUGUUUUACUGUUUCAAGGCAGGAGCAAGAUCAGGCUGCAGUUGACUCUCAUAGAAAGGCAAUUGUUGUUAUUGCUGCUGGUAGAUUUAAAGAUGAAAUUAUCCCUGUGGCAACCAAGGUAAUGUGCAAUUCCUUUGCAGUUUUUACAGAUAAUGUUUGAAAAGCAUAUGUGAAUAGCAUC